rnacentral:rRNA from 1 species
AGGACGAACGCUGGCGGCGUGCUUAACACAUGCAAGUCGAGCGGAAAGGCCCUUCGGGGUACACGAGCGGCGAACGGGUGAGUAACACGUGGGUGACCUGCCCUUAGCUCUGGGAUAAGCCUGGGAAACUGGGUCUAAUACCGGAUAUGACCUCGCGAUGCAUGUCGUGGGGUGAAAGCCUUGUGCGGCUAGGGAUGGGCCCGCGGCCUAUCAGCUUGUUGGUGGGGUGAUGGCCUACCAAGGCGACGACGGGUAGCCGGCCUGAGAGGGCGACCGGCCACACUGGGACUGAGACACGGCCCAGACUCCUACGGGAGGCAGCAGUGGGGAAUCUUGCGCAAUGGGCGAAAGCCUGACGCAGCGACGCCGCGUGAGGGAUGACGGCCUCGGUUGGUAAACCUCUUUCUAGCCCUGACGAAGCGAAAGUGACGGUAGGGCGAGAGAAGCACCGGCCACUACGCGCCAGCAGCCGC